GACAGAGGGUGCAAACGUUGUUCGGAAUUACUGGGCGUAAAGCGCGUGUAGGCGGUUUCGCAAGUCGGGUGUGAAAGCCCAGGGCUCAACCCUGGAAGUGCAUUCGAUACUGCGAGGCUAGAGUACCGGAGAGGGUGGUGGAACUCUCGGUGUAGAGGUGAAAUUCGUAGAUAUCGAGAAGAACACCGGUGGCGAAGGCGGCCACCUGGACGGAUACUGACGCUGAGACGCGAAAGCGUGGGGAGCAAACAGG
rnacentral:rRNA from 1 species